rnacentral:piRNA from 1 species
UUGAAUCUUAGGUAGAUGCAGCUCUCAUG